GUAAGCCAGCCCCUUUCUGCUUCGAUAAUGGGACUCAUUCAGGAAGAAUCAGUAGUUCUUACAAGAGAGCCCAAAGUCAAAAACCGAGCAGGAUCAGAUACAACAAAAUGUCCAGGGAUCAGGGAUUCAGAGUAAUCUGUGGGCCACUCAAGUGAAUGACACGGGCUCCUUCAAUCUUUCCUUCCUGGCCUCCCGCUGACUUCUCACCUCGUGCAGCUUCAUCACUGCCCGGUUAUAGGCAGGAAGAUGCAGGAAAGGACACAAUAGGAAGAGGGUGUCUCUGCUGUUGACGUUUGCUUUUUCCACAGACUUCCUCUUGUCUUAUUGACCAGAAUUAGGACACACGGCCAGUCCUAGCUGCGAAGAAAGCUUGGAAAUUGGAGGGUAAGAUUAUUAUAAGCACUUGGACCAGUCAUGAUCCAUGACCAGGAACUGGGCCCACUGCCACCCACACAAAGUCAUGGUUCCAUCAGCAAGAGAGAAGGGGGAAAUUAGGGCAAUGGAAACUGUUGAAUCUGUACCCAAAAGAAGUUUCAAAUCACAGAAAACCUCUCAGAUCCUUCAAUGAUUCAUAUUAACAACUACAGGGAAAAG
rnacentral:lncRNA from 1 species